UACGGGAGGCAGCAGUAGGGAAUCUUCGGCAAUGGACGAAAGUCUGACCGAGCAACGCCGCGUGAGUGAAGAAGGUUUUCGGAUCGUAAAACUCUGUUGUUAGAGAAGAACAAGGACGUUAGUAACUGAACGUCCCCUGACGGUAUCUAACCAGAAAGCCACGGCUAACUACGUGCCAGCAGCCGCGGUAAUACGUAGGUGGCAAGCGUUGUCCGGAUUUAUUGGGCGUAAAGCGAGCGCAGGCGGUUUCUUAAGUCUGAUGUGAAAGCCCCCGGCUCAACCGGGGAGGGUCAUUGGAAACUGGGAGACUUGAGUGCAGAAGAGGAGAGUGGAAUUCCAUGUGUAGCGGUGAAAUGCGUAGAUAUAUGGAGGAACACCAGUGGCGAAGGCGGCUCUCUGGUCUGUAACUGACGCUGAGGCUCGAAAGCGUGGGGAGCAAACAGGAUUAGAUACCCUGGUAGUCCACGCCGUAAACGAUGAGUGCUAAGUGUUGGAGGGUUUCCGCCCUUCAGUGCUGCAGCAAACGCAUUAAGCACUCCGCCUGGGGAGUACGACCGCAAGGUUGAAACUCAAAGGAAUUGACGG
rnacentral:rRNA from 1 species